AAUGAACGUUGGCGGCAUGGAUUAGGCAUGCAAGUCGAGCGAGAAGUGUAGCAAUACAUGGAAAGCGGCGGAAGGGAGAGUAAUACGUGGGAAUCUGCCCUUAGACCUGGGAUAGCAGCGGGAAACUGCUGGUAAUACCAGAUAGUGUCUAUGGACCAAAGGUGUGAUUCCGUCUAGGGAUGAGCCCACGUCCUAUUAGCUAGUUGGUAGGGUAAUGGCCUACCAAGGCGAUGAUGGGUAGCGGGUGUGAGAGCAUGACCCGCCUCACUGGGACUGAGACACUGCCCAGACACCUACGGGUGGCUGCAGUCGAGAAUCUUCGGCAAUGGGCGCAAGCCUGACCGAGCGAUGCCGCGUGCGGGAUGAAGGCCUUCGGGUUGUAAACCGCUGUCGAGGGGGAGCAACUUCCAUAGAGUUAUCUUUAUGGAUUGAGUGAUCCCUGGAGGAAGGACGGGCUAAGUUCGUGCCAGCCGCCGCAGUAAUAC
rnacentral:rRNA from 1 species